rnacentral:rRNA from 1 species
GACGAACGCUGGCGGCGUGCUUAACACAUGCAAGUCGAACGAAGUGGCGAACGGGUGAGUAACGCGUAAUCAACCUGCCCUUCAGAGGGGGACAACAGUUGGAAACGACUGCUCAUACCGCAUACGGAAGGAGGGGAUUGCGUCGGAUUUGCUAGUUGGAGGGGUAACGGCCCACCAAGGCGAUGAUCAGUCGCCUGUCUGGGAGGAUGAACGGCCACCUUGGGACUUGGACCCGGCCCCGACUCCUUCGGGAGGCAGCAGGGGGGAAUCUUCCGCAAUGGACGAAAGUCUGACGGAGCAACGCCGCGUGAGUGAUGACGGCCUUCGGGUUGUAAAGCUCUGUUAAUCGGGACGCGGUACCGGAAUAGAAAGCCACGGCUAACUACGUGCCAGCAGCCGCGGUAAUUC